rnacentral:tRNA from 1 species
GCGGGCGUAGCUCAGGGGUAGAGCGCAACCUUGCCAAGGUUGAAGUCGGGAGUUCAAAUCUCCUCGCCCGCUCCA